CAUUUACUUUAUCAAGUGCUUCUAAAAUUCAAGCGGAAGUCUCUGUACAUCACGCGAGAACUGUCAUGGCUGCUGAAGAAAACGACUGGUAAACACGCAGAUUUAUUUUACUUGGUUUUCGCUUAUAAAGGGCUAUGAUGUUGAUAGUGAAUAAAAAUUCCGUCUUAUUGGAACAAGGUCCAAAAUUGAAAGCAGGUGGUUGCGACUGAACACGGAACCACAAGGAUUGGAUGGAUUAUUAAUGACAAUUGUCGCUGUUUUGUCAUCUAUCAGGGACUCCAGAUGAUCCAGAUCAACUUCCCAGUUUUUCUCUGGCUACAAAACAAGAAAGCAAUCCAUCCUUAUGUAAUCACAUAAAAAAAUGUCACGUCAUGUAAACAAAAUUUAAAAGUAAAAAAUAUA